rnacentral:rRNA from 1 species
CCUACGGGGGGCAGCAGUGGGGAAUAUUGGACAAUGGGCGAAAGCCUGAUCCAGCCAUGCCGCGUGUGUGAAGAAGGCCUUCGGGUUGUAAAGCACUUUCAGUGGGGAAGAAAGCCUUGGGGCUAAUACCCUCGAGGAAGGACAUCACCCACAGCAGAAGCACCGGCUAACUCCGUGCCAGCAGCCGCGGUAAUACGGAGGGUGCGAGCGUUAAUCGGAAUUACUGGGCGUAAAGCGCGCGUAGGCGGUCUGAUAAGCCGGUUGUGAAAGCCCCGGGCUCAACCUGGGAACGGCAUCCGGAACUGUCAGGCUAGAGUGCAGGAGAGGAAGGUAGAAUUCCCGGUGUAGCGGUGAAAUGCGUAGAGAUCGGGAGGAAUACCAGUGGCGAAGGCGGCCUUCUGGACUGACACUGACGCUGAGGUGCGAAAGCGUGGGUAGCAAACAGGAUUAGAUACCCUAGUAGUC